rnacentral:rRNA from 1 species
GUAAGGAAUAUUGGUCAAUGGGGGCAACCCUGAACCAGCCAUGCCGCGUGAAGGAUGAAGGCGUUAUGCGUUGUAAACUUCUUUUGUAUGGGAAGAAUGACAGGGAUUUAUCCUUGGAGAGACGGUACCAUACGAAUAAGCACCGGCUAACUCCGGGCCAGCAGCCGCGGUAAUACGGAGGGUGCAAGCGUUAUCCGGAAUCACUGGGUUGAAAGGGUACGUAGGAGGUGAAUUAAGUCAGUCGUGAAAGACUGUCGCUCAACGUCGGAUGUGCUAUUGAUACUGGUUAACUUGAAUCAGGUUAGCGUUGGCGGACUGGGUCAUGUAGCGGUGAAAUGCUUAGAUAUGACUUUGAACACCGAUAGCGAAGGCAGCUGACUGAGCCUUGAUUGACGCUGAGGUACGAAAGUGUGGGUAGCGAACAGGAUUAGAAACCCGAGUAGUCC